GCCUGGCUGGCUCAGUGGGUAGAGUAUGAGAUUCUUUUUUUUUUUUUUUCCGGUGCAAAAGGUGGUGUUAUUGAAGCACAGGGACAGGACCUGCGAGCAGAAAGAGCUGCCGAGCAUGAGAUUCUUAAUCUCAGGGUCAUGAGUUUGAGUCCCAUUUUGAGCA
rnacentral:tRNA from 1 species